AUGAGCCCAAGCGGCCAACAACAAAAAUACAAUUGUUUUGAUACAACAACGAAGGCCAACGUCAAGGAACAGCAUGUUGACAUGCACAUCCUACUCUCGCUUCUGGUAAUCCUGACCAAUGCCUUCAGCAACAACCACGACAGCAUGCCCCUUCUUAUUUAUCCUUUGAUACAGGAACUCAAACAGGACUCCCUCCCCUUCAACGUGGAAAUCAAUCUCAAGCAGGAACUCAAACAUGACUCCCUUCCCUUCAACAUGGAAAUCAAUCUCAAGCAGCAGUCAACAUCUCGGCUUCUCAGAGUGGCAUGA
rnacentral:rRNA from 1 species